UACGUAGGCAGCAAGCGUUGUUCGGAAUUACUGGGCGUAAAGAGUGUGUAGGCGGUGCUCUAAGUCUGUUGUGAAAUCUCCCGGCUUAACUGGGAGGGUGCGGCGGAGACUGGAGUGCUAGAGUGUGGGAGAGGUAAGCGGAAUUCCUGGUGUAGCGGUGAAAUGCGUAGAUAUCAGGAGGAACACCUGUGGUGUAGACAGCUUACUGGACCACGACUGACGCUGAGACACGAAAGCGUGGGGAGCAAACAGG
rnacentral:rRNA from 1 species